rnacentral:miRNA from 1 species
UGAUAAUUGAGAUUUCCAA